rnacentral:tRNA from 1 species
GAGGGUAGAGCUCAGUGGUAGAGCUCAUGCUUAGCAUGCAGGGGGUCCUGGGUUCAAUCCCCAGUACCUCCA